rnacentral:rRNA from 1 species
AGUCGAACGGCAGCACGGACUUCGGUCUGGUGGCGAGUGGCGAACGGGUGAGUAAUGUAUCGGAACGUGCCUAGUAGCGGGGAUAACUACGCGAAAGCGUUACCGCACACGCCCCGGGGAAAGCGGGGACCUUCGGGCCUCGCACUAUUAGAGCGGCCGAUAUCGGAUUAGCUAGUUUAUGGGGUAACGUCAAAUUAAGGCGACGAUCCGUAGCUGGUUUGAGAGGACGACUCAGCCACACUGGGACUGAGACACGGCCCAGACUCCUACGGAGUGGCAGCAGUGGGAAUUUUGGACAAUGGGGAAACCCGAUCCGUACCAUCUCCGCGUGCGAUGAAGGCCUUCGGGUUGUAAAGCACUUUUGGCAGGAAAGAACGGCACGGGAUAAUACCCCGUGCAACUGACGGUACCUGCAGAAUAAGCACCGGCUAACUACGCGCCAGCAGCCGCGGUAAUACGUAGGGGCGCAAGCGUUAAUCGGAAUUACUGGGGCGCAUGCAGGCGGUUCGAAAGAAAGAUGUGAAAUCCCAGAGCUUAACUUUGGGAACUGUAUUUAACUACCGGAGCUAGGGAGUGUGUCAGAGGGAGGGAAAUUCGCGUGUAGCAGUGAAAUGCGUAGAUAUGCGGAGGAACACCGAUGGCGAAGGCAGCCUCCUGGGAUAACACUGACGCUCAUGCACGAAAGCGUGGGGAGCAAACAGGAUUAGAUACCCUGGUAGUCCACGCCCUUAAACGAUGUCAACUAGCUGUUGGGGCUUCCCGGGCCUUGGUAGCAGCUAACGCGUGCUGACCGCUUCGGGGAGUACGGUCGCAGAUUAAACUCAAAGGAAUUGACGGGGACCUGCACAAGCGGUGGAUGAUGUGGAUUAAUCUGAUGCAACGCGAAAACCUUACCUACCCUUGACAUGUCUGGAAUCCCGAAGAUUUGAGCUCAAAAGAGAACCGGAACACAGGUGCUGCAUGGCUGUCGUCAGCUCGUGUCGUGAGAUGUUGGGUUAAGUCCCGGCAACGAGCGGCAACCUUGUCAUUAGCUGUUACGAAAGGGCACUCUAAUGAUAUUGCCGGUGACAAACCGGAGGCGCAUACGACACAAUGUCCUCAUGGUUCUUAUGGGUAGGGCUUCACACGUCAUACAAUGGUCGGGACAGAGGGGUCACAACCCGCGAGGGGGAGCCAAUCCCAGAAACCCGAUCGUAGUCCGGAUCGCAGUCUGCAACUCGACUGCGUGAAGUCGGAAUCGCUAGUAAUCGCGGAUCAGCAUGUCGCGGUGAAUACGUUCCUCGGGUCUUGUAACACCGCCCGUCACAAGCUCAUGGGGAGUGGGUUUUACCAGAAGUAGUUAUCUAACCGUAAGGAGGGCGAUUACCACGGUAGGAUUCAUGACUGGGGUGAAGUCGUAACAAGGUAA